rnacentral:lncRNA from 1 species
AGAACGCGACGGGCGGUACAGCGUGUGGGGCGCCGUAUUCUGGGAGCCUGUGUAUGCGUGUGCUGUGUGCGCGCAGCUGUGCAGGAUGAAUCACAGACAUCAGAGAUGGAGAACACCUGUUACUGUGGGUCAUCGGCUUGGCGUGCGUCCGGUCUAGUUUCCAUUUACAGGACAGUUCUGUGCCCUUCCUCAGGAGGUCCCAUUCCUUCCUUCUUUUGGUCGGUUCUGAGUGUCAGCUGUCUACUGGGGAUCUGCUAAGGCUAAGAGGCAAAGAUAGGCAAGUCACUCCCCUGACCUCAAGAAACUCCCAGUCUACAGGCGAAGAUACACCACCCACCGGUAGAGUCGCUGGACCAGAAUAUUAGGUGUUCCAGUCAAAGUCACCCAGAUUUGCCAAAAGACCUGGCACAAAUGUCACUUCCACUAUGAAGUCCCACUGACUUCCAUAUACAAGACAAUCUGCUGGGAAUUUCUUGGGUUGACAGCUCUUGGAUCCCUAUUUUGAACAGUGGUAGUGUCCUGGAUUACUUUUCAGAAAGAAGUAAUCCUUUUUAUGACAGAACAUGUAAUAAUGAAGUGGUCAAAAUGCAGAGGCUAACAUUAGAACACUUGAAUCAGAUGGUUGGAAUCGAGUACAUCCUUUUGCAUGCUCAAGAGCCCAUUCUUUUCAUCAUUCGGAAGCAACAGCGGCAGUCCCCUGCCCAAGUUAUCCCACUAGCUGAUUACUAUAUCAUUGCUGGAGUGAUCUAUCAGGCACCAGACUUGGGAUCA